rnacentral:rRNA from 1 species
UACGAAGGGGGCUAGCGUUGCUCGGAAUUACUGGGCGUAAAGCGCGCGCAGGCGGCUAUCCAAGUCAGUGGUGAAAGCCCGGAGCUCAACUCCGGAAUUGCCAUUGAAACUGUUUAGCUUGAGGACGAGAGAGGUGAGUGGAAUUCCCAGUGUAGAGGUGAAAUUCGUAGAUAUUGGGAAGAACACCGGUGGCGAAGGCGGCUCACUGGCUCGUUUCUGACGCUCAGGCGCGACAGCGUGGGGAUCAAACAGG